rnacentral:rRNA from 1 species
AUGAGUUGGCGGCCGCCGAUCUCGCCUGGCCGCCUCCUUCUUGUCGUCCAAUUCGUCGCCCUCUGCUCGAUUCCUGGGGCUUUUUCUUCGAGGCUUGUCACACUUGAUACCAUUGAUAUAUUUACCACUCAUGAAUGGUUCUCCAGACCAACUGUGUUUUUCCGCUGCAGUGGAGAUAACAAGACACAUUUGCCUGACGUGAAGGACGCAAACAUGAUAUAUACCUUUAAGGGUGAAGAAUCAUGGCAGCCCUUAACGGAACUUCCAGAAAAGAAGUGCAAGCGAUGUGGUUUGUACGAAGAGGAUAUGUUUAGAAAUGAUGUGUUUGAUGAAUGGGAGCUGUGUUCUAGUGACUUCAAAGAUGGCAAGUACACACACUUCAAGGAAGGGCAGUUCAAUGCGACCUUCCUGUGCCCAAACUGUACUGUCUCUGUUGGUGAUGCUGCAGCCCAUCACUCUAGCUCAGAGGUGGAAGCCAAAAAGACAUCUGUUGCUGUUAUCAUAAUAGUAAGCGUUCUCGCUUCCGUUAUCGUCGUCCUCGCCUUGUUCGGAGCCUACAAGUACUGGCUGAAGAAGAAGAGGGAGCGGGAUCAGUUACGAUUUCUCAAGCUCUUCGAGGAGGGAGACGACAUGGACGACGAACUGGGCCUUAGCAAUGAACUCUAA